CGUCAGAAAAACUCUCCACAGGGCCUAUCUCCACUGGUUGGUUAAAGACCCGGAGUACAAUUUUUGGACUGCCUUUAUAUAAUAUAAUAUAUAAAGGCAU
rnacentral:snRNA from 1 species